rnacentral:snRNA from 1 species
GUGCCCACUUUAGUAGCACUUAUACUGAAACUGGUAAAAUGCAGAGAUUAGCAUGGCCGCUGAAUAAGAAUGACACACAAAUUUGUGAAGCAUUCCAUAUCUUG